rnacentral:rRNA from 1 species
GUAUGGAAUAUUGGACAAUGGACGCAAGUCUGAUCCAGCCAUGCCGCGUGAAGGAUUAAGGUCCUCUGGAUUGUAAACUUCUUUUAUAAGGGACGAAAAAAGGCUUUUCUAAGUCGUCUGACGGUACCUUAUGAAUAAGCACCGGCUAACUCCGUGCCAGCAGCCGCGGUAAUACGGAGGGUGCAAGCGUUAUCCGGAUUCACUGGGUUUAAAGGGUGCGUAGGCGGGCAGGUAAGUCAGUGGUGAAAUCCUAGAGCUUAACUCUAGAACUGCCAUUGAUACUAUCUGUCUUGAAUAUUGUGGAGGUAAGCGGAAUAUGUCAUGUAGCGGUGAAAUGCUUAGAUAUGACAUAGAACACCUAUUGCGAAGGCAGCUUACUACGCAUAUAUUGACGCUGAGGCACGAAAGCGUGGGGAUCAAACAGGAUUAGAUACCCUAGUAGUCC